AAUGUUUAGAUGAAAAUUCGCCAAACUCCUAAUUUAUUUUUCCAAUUCUCCAAUUAAAGAAACCCCCUCCAAUGAUUAUUUAAAGUAUCUUGCCCACACAGCUCCCUCCUUCCCCUGCUUGCUUUUUUUUUUUCCAUUUUAGUCAAAUAACCAAUUUUCCACUUGCACUAAUUCAAUACACUCGUCUUGUUUCAGAAGCCACAUUGCAGUGAUGCUGAGAAAGGAGUCCAGAACCAGCUGAUUUAAUGCUUUGCUCAUGGUGCCUGCUACGGGAAAACAAAAGGCGUUUCCAUUCCGGGCACAGCUCUGGAAGCAGCUGGGAGGUGUUACUGAGCUGUGUGUGCAGGUUAUUAUGCUCUGCUCCCACCUGAGUGCCAGCGGGGCAGGUGGGAUGAAGCAAAUUGUGGCACCUGGAAUUGCAAAGCUGCUGCUGGAUCCCAAAACCCUGCUGAGCACAGGAACAUUGCUGGAACUUGUGGGGACUGAAAAAUGGCAAGAGUAAG
rnacentral:lncRNA from 1 species